AGGCUCAAAGGAUUCAAAUACUUGCCCAAGGUCCCAGGUUCGUUUGAUUGACAGAGCAUGAGUACCCUCCUAAAUGCCCCUUGAGGUCUCUAUAUUUAGGAGGAAGCAGCUUCAGAACUCUAGCUCCCCACCCCAGGUCCAUUCCAGUUUAGAAACUCCACAGCCACCUCAACAGCAGGAACAAAGGUGGGUCUCUGUCCUGCCUCUGGGGCCAGGCUGGCUGAUGGCUUCAGGCCCAACCAAAAGAUCCCUUCCACCCACCCGACUCUAGCAACACCCACAUCACCAACCCUGGGCCUCCCACCAGAGCCUCCACCUUCUAGGAAGUCACCCUCCCUCCUGCAAGAUGCUGGUGGCUGAGACUGGAGGGACCCUUUCAAUUUCAGGAUAAACAAACUGUCGUUCUGGCCCAGCCCUCUGCCGGCUUGCUGCUUCCCGCCCCCCUCCAUCCGCAGUGCACAGUCGCUCUGUUCUCCUGCCAACUUGGCAGCUCAUCGCUGCUGUUACUAUCAACACCUCCAAGGGAAAAGGGAGAGGAGUCAGCUCUGAUCGCCUGGCGCACUGUGCAGCAAAUUCAUGUCAGAGCCAGCCUUGGAAUGUCUCCCAAGCUCCCAAGGCUCCUGGAGCCUUUCUCCCAGAUGUGAAACUGAUCCUAAGACCCCCUGUAAUUUCCUGCUGAAAAUCUCCACCAAGAAACACAGCCACAGCCACAGUUCUUCCUGUGGGGGAAAAAUGAUGUCAUCAGCUGAAAGUGAGAAGCAAGGAGAACUGCGUGCAGGCCUGAAAAGAAAGGAGGCGUGAUGCAGUCAUCUGCCAGAGGGAGUAGGAGAGGCGACUUGCCUGGGGAAAACAGUGUAGGAUUGCUGGGCAGCAAUAUGGCAGCAAUGUGGUCCUCUGAGGUCAGUGGUGAUGAAUUUAAAGGGAAACCUUUCAGUACAGCUCUGUGUUUUUCUCCAGCCACCUUUAACACCUGGAGUGCAGGCAUUAAAUAGCUAAAAGUCACAUUUGACAAGUGUUGAUUUUGCUAGGCCUAUAGGUUGGGAGAGAGAAGGUCAGAAUGGUUGUCAUUGUUAUCUAUUGCUGUGAAACACAUGACUCCAACACAAUUACUCCCAAACAACAAAUAUUUAUUACCUCAUAGUUUCUGUGGGUCACAGUUUGGAAUUUGGAAGCAGCUCAGGCUGGGCAGUUCUGGCUUGGGGUCUUUCACGAGGCUGCAGUCAAAUGUUACCUCAGGUUACAGUCAUCUAAAAGCUUGUAUAGGGCUGGAGGAUCUGCUUCCAGGGUGGUGCACUCACAUGGCUGGCAAGUCAGUAGUGGUGGUUGGUGGACAACUCAGUUCCUCUACAGGCUGUCAGAGUGUACUUACAGCCUGACAACCAGCUUCUCCCAGAGCUACCAGUCCAAGAGGGAGACCUAAUCAGAAGCUAUCCUUCUUUGACCUAUGCUCAGAAGUGACAUUGCGUUCCUU
rnacentral:lncRNA from 10 species